CCCUUAGAUGUUCUGGGCCGCACGCGCGCUACACUGAUGCAUUCAACGAGUUUCUUCCUGGUCCGAGAGGAAUGGGUAACCUUUUGAAAGUGCAUCGUGAUAGGGAUAGACUAUUGCAAUUAUUGGUCUUCAACGAGGAAUUCCUAGUAGACGUAGUUCAUCAGACUGCAUCGAUUACGUCCCUGCCCUUUGUACACACCGCCCGUCGCUCCUACCGAUUGAAUGCUCAGGUGAGCCAUUCGGACUUUCAUCAUGCUGGUUUCCAGUUUUGAUGAAGGAAAGUCUUGCGAACCUUAUCAUUGAGAGGAAGGAGAAGGCGGAACA
rnacentral:rRNA from 1 species